AUUGAACGCUGGCGGCAUGCUUUACACAUGCAAGUCGAACGGUAACAGGCCGCAAGGUGCUGACGAGUGGCGAACGGGUGAGUAAUGCAUCGGAACGUGCCCAGUCGUGGGGGAUAACUGCUCGAAAGAGCAGCUAAUACCGCAUACGAUCUAUGGAUGAAAGCGGGGGACCGUAAGGCCUCGCGCGAUUGGAGCGGCCGAUGUCAGAUUAGGUAGUUGGUGGGGUAAAGGCUCACCAAGCCAACGAUCUGUAGCUGGUCUGAGAGGACGACCAGCCACACUGGGACUGAGACACGGCCCAGACUCCUACGGGAGGCAGCAGUGGGGAAUUUUGGACAAUGGGGGCAACCCUGAUCCAGCAAUGCCGCGUGCAGGAAGAAGGCCUUCGGGUUGUAAACUGCUUUUGUACGGAACGAAACGGUCUGGGUUAAUACCCUGGGCUAAUGACGGUACCGUAAGAAUAAGCACCGGCUAACUACGUGCCAGCAGCCGCCGUAAAAC
rnacentral:rRNA from 1 species